AUUUAAGUAGCUCAUAAAUUAGAGCUUGACAUUGAAGAUGUCAAGGAGGUAAAUUACCCUUAAAUA
rnacentral:tRNA from 1 species